CCUUUGCAAAAGCCCAUCCUGAUCUAAUUGCUCUGAGACUAAGCAUUAUGACUUUAAUAGCAACGUUUCUAUAAAUUUCCAAAUUAAUAUAUUUCAAUUGUUAAAUAACCUAUGGUUCAUUUGGAAGUUUCUGAGCUCUGUACCACCCUUAAUAAAAUGUAACUUUCCCUAACCCAGUUUCUCUACUCUUCUAAUUUCCUUCAAAAUGUCCUUUUUUUCUAUUGCUUGUGGAUUGUUUUCAGGUGGAAACAGAAUACAAAUAGCCUUUGGAAAAGUAAAAAUAAAAAUGGAAACAGUAUAUUCCACAGUCCUCCUACUCUAUGCUUACUGCUGUCAAAUGCAUCAUUAAUAAUACCACUUUUAAGUAAGAAGUUUGGAAAAUUUAGCUGGCUCUAGUAUUUUUUUCACCCAAAUGGCAAAACGGGUCUAAAAUAUGAAAUUAUUCAAAGUACUGAAAACAGUUGCACAGAUAAUCUAAGACAUUGGAAAAUCAAAAGACCUUUAUAUUUGCCUUUGGAACAUAUGUGAUUUUUCCUCCUGCAGCAUUUUGCCUAGACUAAUAUUAAAAUGAAUUUACUUUCCUAAAGCACAUAUUGGCUGGGAAGCUGAAGGACACGCUCUCUGCUAGUUGGCAGGAAGAAACAGGCUUGGAUUAACAUUUGGCCACCAAGCAGAUAAUCUGAAUAUAAAUACUUUCUUAUUCUAACCAGACUGAUGGUGUGCCCUGGGUUAAAAGAUUCCAUUUGCAAUAAAACCUGCUUGCUUGGUGAAUCUGUAUUCAUUCAAAAACACAGAACAUGACUCAUGCUGUGAAAUCUGGUCUUCUGACACUGUUGAUUACCUUAAAGAAAUAAGGUAACGGGGACGUUUACAAAAA
rnacentral:lncRNA from 1 species